GUUGAACGCUGGCGGCAGGCUUAACACAUGCAAGUCGAGCGGGGUGAUGGUGCUUGCACUAUCACUUAGCGGCGGACGGGUGAGUAAUGCUUAGGAAUCUGCCUAUUAGUGGGGGACAACAUCUCGAAAGGGAUGCUAAUACCGCAUACGUCCUACGGGAGAAAGCAGGGGAUCACUUGUGACCUUGCGCUAAUAGAUGAGCCUAAGUCGGAUUAGCUAGUUGGUGGGGUAAAGGCCUACCAAGGCGACGAUCUGUAGCGGGUCUGGGAGGAUGAUCCGCCACACUGGGAAUGAGACACGGCCCAGAAUCCUACGGGAGGCAGCAGUGGGGAAUAUUGGACAAUGGGGGGAACCCUGAUCCAGCCAUGCCGCGUGUGUGAAGAAGGCCUUAUGGUUGUAAAGCACUUUAAGCGAGGAGGAGGCUCUUUUGGUUAAUACCCAAGAUGAGUGGACGUUACUCGCAGAAUAAGCACCGGCUAACUCUGUGCCAGCCGCCGCGGUAA
rnacentral:rRNA from 1 species